CUGGUGCCAGCAGCCGCGGUAAUUCCAGCUCCAAUAGCGUAUAUUAAAGUUGUUGCAGUUAAAAAGCUCGUAGUUGAAUUUCGGGGUUAGUAGAUUGGUCGUGCCGCUGGUAUGUACUGGUCUUACUGAUUCCUCCUUCCUGAUGAACCGUAAUGCCAUUGAUUUGGUGUUGCGGGGAGACUGGACUGUUACUUUGAAAAAAUUAGAGUGUUUAAAGCAGGCUAACGCUUGAAUACAUUAGCAUGGAAUAAUGAAAUAGGACGUUCGAUCCUAUUUUGUUGGUUUCUAGGAUUGACGUAAUGAUUAAUAGGGAUAGUUGGGGGCAUUAGUAUUCAAUUGUCAGAGGUGAAAUUCUUGGAUUUAUUGAAGACUAACUACUGCGAAAGCAUUUGCCAAGGAUGUUUCCAUUAAUCAAGAACGAAAGUUAGGGGAUCGAAGACGAUCAGAUACCGUCGUAGUCCUAACCAUAAACUAUGCCGACUAGGGAUCGGAUGAUGUUAAUUUUUUAAUGACUCAUUCGGCG
rnacentral:rRNA from 1 species